AGCCCUUUGUAGACAUAAAGGUCUUGCCUGCCCAGUGGCUAAAGCUAAACGGCCGCGGUAUCUUGACCGUGCAAAGGUAGCAUAAUCAUUUGUCUUUUAAAUGGAGACUUGUAUGAAUGGCGGAACCUUCUUCAACUGUCUCCCUUUCCACUCCCCCAAAUUUCUAUUUCCGUGAAGAAGCAGAAAUAAAAGAGAAAGACGAGAAGACCCUGUCGAGCUUCAGCUUAAAGGUGAAAAACUAAACAUCAUCCAAAAGCUUUGGUUGGGGCAACCAUGGAGAAAACACAUCCUCCAGAAAAAAUAGAAGAAAACCCUUCACUAUUUUCAACCUCAAAGAACCAGAAACUGGUAAUCGGAAAAAGUUACCGCAGGGAUAACAGCGUAAUCUUCUCUAAGAGUCCUUAUUGACGAGAAGGUUUGCGACCUCGAUGUUGGAUUGGGGCCUCCUUUGGGUGCAGAAGCUCUAAAAGGUUAGACUGUUCGUCUAUUAAAGCCCUACG
rnacentral:rRNA from 1 species